GAGAACGAGUAAUGUCUUGAUAUUUUCUCAAAAGAAUAUAAACAUGAAGCUCAAAUUAUAUAGCAAGUUGAAGAAAGUGUGACACUGCUUUAUUUUCAGGGUUUUUGUUUUUUUUCUUAAGGAAACACAGCACGUUAGGAGUUGAGGUGAAGGUCCUGACUGUCUUUGUGGUUUGUGUGCAGUUUGUUUUUUUUUUUUACCAGGAUUCAUAACUGGGGAAACAAAAGCACCUCUUUGUCUGUAUAACUUUGUUCCCUUCCUUUAUUGCUUUAAAUAGGCAAGAUGUGGUUUGCAUUUCUUUCACUGCUAAUGUUUGCUUUGUGUUCCUUAAUAAAAAUAACGUGCCGUUCACAUUGCUCUCAAAGGUCGCUAAAGAUCCCCUCCCCGCUUAGUCAUUCCACUCAUUUGUAACCAAGAUCCUCAGUGCUGCUAACAGAGGCUCCCUCCGCCCCGUAUCUUCUGUGCAUAAAGCAGUAGACAGUGGGUCCAGUUAUAUUAAACAUCCGGUAAUAUUGGUACCUUUAACUUUGCUAUGAGAAUCCUCAAGACGGAAGCAUUAUCCUCUGCUUACAAAUGCUGUAGGUGAGGAUGUGCAUCAACCCUCCCAGGAGUAUAGGGAUCAUCACCAUCACCAUUGUAAGAUGACAGCUCUUUACAGUUCACAUAUCUUUGUCCUGGUUAUUCUCCCUCUUAAUCAUUGAGAGUCUUGUGGCCAGGUGCAGUGGCUCAUGCCUGUAAUUCUAGUGCUUGGAGAAGCUGAGGCAGGAGGAUUGCUUGAGAGGAGGUGGAGGUUACAGUGAACUAUGACCUCAACACCACUGCACUCCAGCCUGGGUGACAGAGCAAGAGCCUAUCUCUAAAAUUAAUUAUUUUAAGAGUCCUGCAAGAUGGGUGUAAAUCUUUCUAGAGCACAGCUGAAAAGUUAAAUGGCUUGUCCUAGAGUACACAGCUCAGCAGAGCCAAGAGUAAAAUGGAAAUCCAGUGCUUUUCCAUCUAUGCUGCAGUGAACCUCCACUAGAGUUUUAUGCAAGUCCAACCUCCCAGCAAUAGGGAGAAAAAGCAAUUAUAGCCUUUCUUGAUAUUUAACCUAGCUAAAAACUUCAGCCCAGAGAAAAUCUUCCAAAAGUCCAAGACAGACAGGUCUGGAUGUGUAUACUUUCCCCCAUCAACCAUAACCUUAAAUCUGAAGCCAGGAAUUAGAAAGAAAUUCUCAGGGUAACACAAUUGUUUCACUCAUGAAGUCUCACUUCCAGCAUCAGUGAGACUAGCUGUGAGACUCGGGCAAAUUACUUAACCUUAAUUUCCUCAGUCUGUAAAAUGGGGAUAUAAUAUUGGGUAACACACUAAGCAUAAUGUCAGGGAUAUAAUUUGGAUGUUUGUGUCUCCAUCCUCCCAGAUGUCCCUGAUCCCACUGUAACCCAACCCCAGGUUCUAGGGCCUUCUUCUGCCAAUUUCACAGUUUCUAUACAUAUUUUCCAGGCACUUCUACCGCUCACCACCCUCCAAAAGGGACUGAGCCCUAAGCUUGUGCAGUGAUUAAUGCUUUCCAUGUCUUUUCCAUCCGCCUGCAGUUAUGCUACAAGAUCUCUGGGUAAAGGACUAGCCAGGUCUGUCUAACACAUACUUUUUGGUGUGACUUAACAGACUGGUUUCUACCACUUUCAGCCUGAAGUGACAGUGCUUUUAAAUGUUGGUUGCAGGCAGGGGACUAUUGCCCCCUCCCAAGCACUUCAACUUCCUUGGCUUCUGUCUGUCCCUGCCAGCAGCUCUUCAUGGGACCCAUCCUGACACUCAACGAAAGCAGAAAAGGGAGUUCCUGAUGCAAAAAGUAAAGAGCUUUCAUCUGAGGAAGGAGCAUGGAUGGAGCUGGAGGUUAUCAUCCUUAGCAAACUAACACAAGAACAGAAAACCAAAUACCGCAAGUUCUCACUUAUAAGUGGGCACUAAAUGAUGAGAACACAUGGACACAAAGAGAGGAACAACACACACUGGGGCCUAUCGGAGAAUGGAGGUUGGGAGGAGGGAGAGGAGGAAAAAACUCUAUUGGGUACUAGGCUUUGUACCUGAGUGAUGAAAUAAUCUGUACAAUAAACCCUCGUGACAUGAGUUUAUCUGUAUAACCUACACAUGUAAUCCUGAACCUAAAAUAAAAGUUAUUUUUGUUUUGUUUUGGUUUUUUAAAAAACCUGCUUGUAACAAAGGCUGUAGGAAGCUCACAGCCAAGGGUAUCUGGGACAGAGUCUUUCAGGCAGUUGUCCUCGUUUUGGUUCAAGUAAACUCUUUAAAUUAUACUUUGUGUCUCAGCCUCUUCCUUUUAGGUUAACACUGAGCAGAGUAAAUAAACGAAUGGCCCCUGCUUCUCUGUCUGAAGCUUGGACUCCUCUUGAGAGGACUUCCUGCUCUGAGAUAGGAGGGAGUCUCGCUCAGAAGAAGGAGCUUGUGUCUGCUGAGGACACAGUUCCAUCCAAUGAGGUCAGCAGGGCUGUUGGCAGCUUCCGUUAAUUCCGCUGGGGCAGACAAGUGGCAAGUGGCAGUUAUUUGAGCUGAGGAUGCUGGGAUGGAUUUUUACAUGAGCAGUUGGCCCUUAAAUCAUGAGCCCAACUUAAGUGCCCAAGGAAAUGGCACAGCAGGGAGAGGGACAUCACACACACCACCAAAUCCUCUUGUUAGUCUCUGGUUUCCACAUCCUUUUCCAAAUCUUCAGGCCAGCUCAUAGCCUCACUUUUCCAUCUCUUCUCCAUUCCUCCAAAGUAGAGCUUCCUGCUGCUACA
rnacentral:lncRNA from 10 species